rnacentral:miRNA from 1 species
GCAGACACAUUCCAGCCAAUCAGCAGCAGACCCUCCCUCCCAUACCCUCCCACCUCCUGGACAGCUCACUAAGAAUGCAGCUUCACAAUGGAUGCUGUCCAGGAGGUGGGAGGGUCUGGGAGGGAGGGUCUGCUGCUGAUUGGCUGGAAUGUGUCUG